rnacentral:rRNA from 1 species
UACGAAGGGGGCUAGCGUUGUUCGGAAUUACUGGGCGUAAAGCGCACGUAGGCGGAUAUUUAAGUCGGGGGUGAAAUCCCGGGGCUCAACCCCGGAACUGCCUUCGAUACUGGGCAUCUUGAGUUCGGAAGAGGUGAGUGGAAUUGCGAGUGUAGAGGUGAAAUUCGUAGAUAUUCGCAGGAACACCAGUGGCGAAGGCGGCUCACUGGUCCGAUACUGACGCUGAGGUGCGAAAGCGUGGGGAGCAAACAGG